AACCUCCGCAAUGCGAGCAAUCGCGACGGGGGGACCCCAAGUGCCACUCUUAACGGGGUGGCUUUUCUUAAGUGUAAAAAGCUUUUGGAAUAAGGGCUGGGCAAGACCGGUGCCAGCCGCCGCGGUAACACCGGCAGCUCUAGUGGUAGCCAUUUUUAUUGGGCCUAAAGCGUUCGUAGCCGGUUUGAUAAGUCUCUGGUGAAAUCCUAUAGCUUAACUGUGGGACUUGCUGGAGAUACUAUUAGACUUGAGGUCGGGAGAGGUUAGCGGUACUCCCAGGGUAGGGGUGAAAUCCUGUAAUCCUGGGAGGACCACCUGUGGCGAAGGCGGCUAACUGGAACGAACCUGACGGUGAGGGACGAAAGCCAGGGGCGCGAACCGGAUUAGAUACCCGGGUAGUCCUGGCCGUAAACGAUGUGGACUUGGUGUUGGAAUGGCUUCGAGCUGCUCCAGUGCCGAAGGGAAGCUGUUAAGUCCACCGCCUGGGAAGUACGGUCGCAAGACUGAAACUUA
rnacentral:rRNA from 1 species